UACAGAGGGUGCGAGCGUUAAUCGGAAUUACUGGGCGUAAAGCGUGCGUAGACGGCUAUCUAAGUCGGGUGUGAAAGCCCCGGGCUCAACCUGGGAAUUGCAUUCGAGACUGAAUAGCUAGGGUACGGUAGAGGGAAGUGGAAUUUCCGGUGUAGCGGUGAAAUGCGUAGAUAUCGGAAGGAACACCAGUGGCGAAGGCGGCUACCUGGACAAAUACUGACGCUGAGGCGCGAGAGCGUGGGGAGCAAACAGU
rnacentral:rRNA from 1 species